GACCGAAGUGCGUACAUUCCUGGCAAUGUUUGGAGGCCGUGGCACUGCAGACCACGUGGCACGAAUCCUGUCUCGUGUUAUCACGAAUGACCUUGCCACAGAAUUCAGCUGGUUUGGCGCAAGGGGGAAAAGAUCGUUCAAAGACCUUGCAUUCGCAGACCUACUUUGUGAGUCCAUCAGAUCUUCACUGCCAAAGGACAAGCAGAACACAACGUUCAAGGAUAUUGAAGAUGCAGUGAAAUCAUGGCUACGUCAUGCAAAAGAAAGGAAGGACAGGCAGGCAGAAAAGACGAGCAAAGGGGGGUCAUCGUAAGCCUCAACUAUAUUGUGUUUCGGCUGUCAAUCCUCAUUGCAUUCUGUAGUUUAGAAUGUGUAUGCCAUUGUGCCUUGUGUGUUACUUUUAUAGCACGGUAUGCCCCAGCAGACAGGCUCUGUUGCUGCUUUUCUUGUUGGGUUUCUCUACCAACACAAAUACCCCUCGCAUAUAGCCCACAUAUUCUGUUGUGAUUUCUCGUCAUAGUCACAGUGCUGUGGUGGUGGAUGGUAAGGAACAGCUCCAUGUGGUGCUCUGACACAGCACUUGCAGUCGCGACAUAGGACAAUGUGUGACCUGAUCUUACCAACGUCACAAAGAACAAGGCACAAGGCCUCGGUCACCCUAUGACACAGCCGCAAGUGUCAUUCGCCAGUCUGGUUGAUAUUGAAACGUCGCAAGCAUACAUUCUUUCGAACACAACAGUACUCGGAUGUUUUAGCAGAAUAACGUAUUGGUAGACUGUGCAAGGUAAUUGUGAACACAAACAAAUUAGUUACUGUAAGUCACCAAGGGUCGACACAAGUUUUUCACUGGGACAUGUCACUGCGGAAGGUCCACAGGGUACCAAAAAUGCCAGAGGUAAAAUUCAAAAUUAGGGAUUUUAUUUAAUGUACAUAGUGUGCAAAUGCGAUAUCUAACGUCAGUUUAUAGCCAAUGUGUCAAAGCUCCCCGCCGAAGGGGAAGUUCAUCGGUGGUGUGAGCUGUUUCUGAACUAUCCAGGCAUGGUACUUAAGUGAAAGACAGUGUGCAUAUACUAUGUUCUUCGUUACUGUAAUUCAAGGACAUUUAGAGCAUUUUUAAGAGUUUUCUUGUCAGGGGUGCUGUCAUAUGGAUGUUUCAUGAUACGUUUUUACCACUUUUAUGCCUCACGGGACUGUUCAUUCAGCAAACAAUUUCUCAUCUGCAAAGUGACUGCUUGUAUUAUUUUCGAGUGUUCUAUUUGAUGAUGUGUUUUAGAAAACUGUGUAAUUUCGUUCUGUUUUAGCAGCGCAUAGCUGAUUGUUCUCUGUGCACUAUACUGACAUAUAUCACAUUCAGUUGCUCAGUUUUCACUGUGAUACAUUGCGGUUGUGUGAUAUUUUCAUAUAUUUCUAUGUGGACGUGUGUCUCGAAAAUUUCUAGCACCCUUCUAGUCAAGGAUGUUAAAGUCUAAGUUUACGGACUUGCGCAUAUCCUUUCUAUUACUGUUGUAAGUUACACGAAUAUGUUAUAUUGCGAAUUCAAUGUAAAAAAAAGUUUGGUGAAUGUAUGUGUUUCAUAUUUUUUGUAAUACUGCUCAGUGUAUGGUGAAACGAAUAAAUAUAACAGGGGCACAUCAA